UACAGAGGUCUCAAGCGUUGUUCGGAUUCAUUGGGCGUAAAGGGUGCGUAGGUGGCGUCGUAAGUCGGGUGUGAAAUUUCGGAGCUUAACUCCGAAACUGCAUUCGAUACUGCGGUGCUUGAGGACUGGAGAGGAGACUGGAAUUUACGGUGUAGCAGUGAAGUGCGUAGAGAUCGUAAGGAAGACCAGUGGCGAAGGCGGGUCUCUGGACAGUUCCUGACACUGAGGCACGAAGGCCAGGGGAGCAAACGGG
rnacentral:rRNA from 1 species